UAGGACCCCAGUCACAUUAAUACAUUACAUUUUAGAUUGUUUGAAAGAUUUAGUUAGAAAAUGAGUUUUUUAUGAAUAAUUUAAUAAGUUAGUAAGUGUAGUAUUAUUUUUAUAUUUAAUUAGUAUAACUUGUACUGCAUGUUUGCUAAUAAUAGGUAUAAACAUUAUACAAAAAUGUGAAUAUAAAAUUAAAUAUUAUUUUCUCUUGUACUAGCUAACCCUGGGGUAAUAAUUAGUUUCUUACCAUAACAAGGGCCAGACAAAUAUUAGAUCUCUUGUGUUGAUGCUGCUGUCAAGGAUACGACACAGCAGCAGCAAAGUCCAAAAACAAGCCAGACUAACAUGGCCUGAAACAAGUGUUUGAUUUUCAAAGCCACGUAUUCCUGAAACCGAAACCAGGACUCCAGCCCUAUGUUUCCUCUUCAUAACCCUUCUUUAAAAAUCUCGUGCUUUCCCAAUUAUAAAAAUAAUAAUAAGCAACCUUCCCUGCAAUAGCGACUUCUUCAAAAUGGUAAAUGGCUCAUCUUCUAUAUUACAAUUCUGAGACAAUUUUCCUGUAUCAAUUUUUUUCUUCUUUUGUUGUUUGGGCUUGACAGACUAACUGAGCUUGCUAACAGUAUGACUAUGAAGUUCUAGAAGAACAUUGCAAAGAGGGGAUCAGUUCCUGAAACCUCAGUGAAGAAAGGAAAAGACUACCCAGUUGGCCCAAUUCUGCUUGGCUUCUUUCUCUUUGUUGUUGUAGGAUCAUCUUUGAUUCAGAAAAUCAGGACUGCUCUCCAUGGUGGCAUGGCCUGAGGAAUUCAACAAAUCUUGUAAUAAUGUCAUAAGCUACUUAGCCAAUUACUAUGUUUAAGAGUACGUUAGACAACCUCGAUCCUUAAAUUAAGAGGUGUUCCCUUCACUAAUCUUAUAAAAUUUUCCAUUGCA